UAGGGAAUCUUCCGCAAUGGGCGAAAGCCUGACGGAGCAACGCCGCGUGAGUGAUGAAGGUCUUCGGAUCGUAAAACUCUGUUAUUAGGGAAGAACAAAUGUGUAAGUAACUAUGCACGUCUUGACGGUACCUAAUCAGAAAGCCCCGGCUAACUACGUGCCAGCAGCCGCGGUAAUACGUAGGUGGCAAGCGUUAUCCGGAAUUAUUGGGCGUAAAGCGCGCGUAGGCGGUUUUUUAAGUCUGAUGUGAAAGCCCACGGCUCAACCGUGGAGGGGCAUUGGAAACUGGGAAACUUGAGUGCAGAAGAGGAAAGUGGAAUUCCAUGUGUAGCGGUGAAAUGCGCAGAGAUAUGGAGGAACACCAGUGGCGAAGGCGACUUUCUGGUCUGUAACUGACGCUGAUGUGCGAAAGCGUGGGGAUCAAACAGG
rnacentral:rRNA from 1 species